CGACGCAGUCUCUCGGCAUCCUUGGACUACGCUUCCCGAGAUGCAGCGUGCGCCGCUCCGUCCACCGCUGUGCUCAGUCCCCGCGUGGUGCAUCCUGGGGGCUGUAGUUCGCCGCGUCCUGACGGGGCCCUGUGACGCCACAGAGGCGUCGAACGCCAGGGAGGUGACUGGCUGGGAAGAAGGGCCGGAGCGGCGGCGGCGGCGGCGGCUGUUGACUUGAGGCUCGGGCUGCUGAGGGACGGGAAGGGCGGCCUUCCCCAUGGCGGCCUGUAACACCUGCGCCGCGGCCGCGCGACUUCUCGGUUCCUCGCUGCCUUCGGCGCGGAGAGGUAUCACAUGUGGUCGUUCUCACCUUCCUGUCUUGGGAUUAAUUGGAACAUUUGAAACUCGGUCUCUAAGAAGUAUUCCAUUUAGGACGUUUUCAGAAACCUCAACAUACUUUGCUUCGAAAGACAGCGCGGGCAAAGACGGUUCUGGAGAUGGCGGCAA